GUUGGUCCACUGUAGGAGUAGGGUAUGCAUCAAGAUGGAAUCUAUCGACCUUGAUAGAGAGGAGUAGUCCUAUAGAAUUUGAGAAGCUAAGUCUGAAAAUCUAUGGCCAUAGUAGUGUGAUAGAUGGAAAGAAGUUUUUAUAGAAAUCAUAAUUGGAUUUGAGCUGAUCGAAUCUAUCAUAUGAUUGAUGUUGAGGUUUGACGAUUUAUCCAUGACCUGCCAUCUAGUCAAAAUCCAUGAUAGAGAGACUGAAGCACA
rnacentral:lncRNA from 1 species